UACGUAGGGUGCAGGCGUUGUCCGGAAUUAUUGGGCGUAAAGAGCUCGUAGGCGGUUUGUCGCGUCGAAUGUGAAAACCCGGGGCUCAACCCCGGGCCUGCAUUCGAUACGGGCAGACUAGAGUUCGGUAGGGGAGUCUGGAAUUCCUGGUGUAGCGGUGAAAUGCACAGAUAUCAGGAGGAACACCGGUGGCGAAGGCGGGACUCUGGGCCGAUACUGACGCUGAGGAGCGAAAGCGUGGGGAGCAAACAGG
rnacentral:rRNA from 1 species